rnacentral:lncRNA from 1 species
GAGUGUGUCCUCGGGUGGGGCAGCCGAGCGGAGCGUGUGCACCGAUAAGCCCAGCCCUGGGGAGCGCCCCAGCUUGUCCCAACAUCGGCGCCAUCAGAGCUGGAGCACCUUCAAAUCUAUGACACUGGGCUCGCUGCCCCCCAAGCCCCGAGAACGGCUGACUCUGCACCGGGCAGCAGCCUGGGAGCCCACAGAACCACCGGAUGGUGACUUCCAGACAGAGGUGUGAGUGCCACGCUGGACUGCCCACUGCAUAUAAAUAUAUAUAUCUCUCUAUUUUCACACUCCACUUUGGAACUACCCAGGAGCCAGCGCCCUCUCCCCUCUCCCGAGGGCUGGGCAGGGAGGCGCCGUGGACUCAGCCAGGCUGGGGGAGCCGGACAUGGCUUGGCCUGGGGUCCCAGGGCCCUUCCUUGUUUCUCAGAGGCCCCUCAGCCACUGGAACCCCAUCUUCAGCCCAGCCUGUCCGUCCCUGUCCCGGGCUGGGGAGGGGGGAGGGGAACUUUGUUGGGAAUAAACUUCACUCUGUGG